GAACGGGUCUUUAGGCUUCGGCAUGGAGGCGAGUGGCGGACGGGUGAGUAACACGUGGAUGACGUGCCCUGAUGUGGGGGAUACCUCUCAGAAAUGAGGGUUAAUACCGCAUACGAUCGGGUUGGUAAGCGACUCGAGGAAAGCUGCUCGUGAGAGUGGCGCAGCAGGAGCGGUCCGCGGCCGAUUAGCUGGUUGGUGGGGUAAGAGCCCACCAAGGCGACGAUCGGUAGCUGGUCUGAGAGGAUGAUCAGCCACACUGGGAUUGAGAACGGCCCAGACUCCUACGGGGGGCAGCAGUGAGGGAUCUUCGGCAAUGGGGGCAACCCUGACCGAGCGACGCCGCGUGCGGGAUGACGGCCUUCGGGUCGUAAACCGCUUUUGUGUGGGACGAGGAGAAGGACGUUAUCACACGAAGAAGCCUCGUCUAACUACGUGCCAGCAACCGCGGUAA
rnacentral:rRNA from 1 species